CUAUAUAAAGUUGCUUUUUGUGGAUUACUGCACACACUGACUGCCAGUCACCUGUUGAACCAAUAAAUAUACAACAGUUAUUUUCUCUUGUCUCUGCAACCUUCCCAGCUCCAAUUUAAAACAUGGGGAACGAGGCUUCAAGCUCAAAUACCCACGUGGCCAACGCAACCGGGAAGCAUCUUCGGAUUUUCUAUGGAGUGGAUACAAUGAGGCUGGAAGAAAUGGUGACAAAUGUGGGAGCAGGGAUAGAAGGUAAAGCAUCAAAAACUGAUCCAUCAGUAUCAGGGCACAUUUCCACCGAUGUGAAGAUGGUUUUUAAACCAGACACCCGGAUCCGUUACAUUCACCUGCCGCAGAACGAGACAUGUAACUUUGCCGGGGAAGGCACCAUCUAUGCCACUGUCCUUUUGGAAGAUGAAAACGACGACAAAAUCUGCAGUGGUGUCAUCUGCCAAAAUUUCCAUGUCCCCAGUGACAGGUCUUUUAUCGUUACUGCCAAUCAUACCAUCAAAUUGCAGAAGUAUGGUGCAAGCCUUUGGAUUGAUGAAGAGGGCCAUGACCAUCGAUAUUAACUACCACAACAACCACACAUAACAACCACAAACAUCCUCUUUAUCCUCCUCCAUUAUCAUGUUGUGUUCUAAUUUUGAUUAGCAGAUAAGAUUUGACAAGGUUAAUUGGAAUAUUAACAGUUUAGAUCAGUGGUUCCCAGCUUUUUUGACUCCAAGACACAUAAAAGCAGAGCCCAUACGUAGCUCUUAUGGAACGAGAAACCAAGCUUCAUGGCAAAAGUACUAGUUCAUUAUUUGGAGUCGGUAUCAAAUUAGAAGCAUCCAUGAAUUUGGAAUACAAGUACCAAGAGAUUGUCUGUUAAACACAUCAACAAAUUCUAAUGUUCCAUAGCUUAACAAAACUAGCAAUCUGAAAUAAACUUCACAUUUUGCGAGGGAAAUGUUUUAUAUUGUUAUGUGUACCCAUUAAUGGAGAGUGCAUGCAUACACAAUGUUAUUCUGCUAAUAAAUUACUGUAGGCCUAUCAACUUUGUAACAGCUUUGUAAUAACAAUUUGAAUGGGAACUUUUACAUUAGAUCUAAAUAAAGAGUCUAGUAAAACUAUUUUGGGUGGCGGUGCUGCAAAACUCAUGAAUAUUAUUUUAUGCACAAUAAAAAUUCUUUUAAAACCCCU